GACGAACGCUGGCGGCGUGCUUAACACAUGCAAGUCGAACGGAAAGGCCCCUUUGGGGGUACUCGAGUGGCGAACGGGUGAGUAACACGUGAGUAACCUGCCCUUGACUUCGGGAUAACUUCAGGAAACUGGGGCUAAUACCGGAUAGGAAUCCUUGCUGCAUGGUGGGGGUUGGAAAGCUUCGGCGGUUUUGGAUGGACUCGCGGCUUAUCAGCUUGUUGGUGGGGUAGUGGCUUACCAAGGCUUUGACGGGUAGCCGGCCUGAGAGGGCGACCGGCCACAUUGAGACUGAGAUACGGCCCAGACUCCUACGGGAGGCAGCAGUGGGGAAUAUUGCUCAAGGGGCGGGAGCCUGAUGCAGCAACGCCGCGUGCGGGAGGACGGCCUUCGGGUUGUAAACCGCUUUCAGCAGGAGCGAAGCUUGUGGUGACGGUACCUGCAGAAGAAGCACCGGCUAACUACGUG
rnacentral:rRNA from 1 species